rnacentral:miRNA from 1 species
GGGAGGGAGUGAGGGAGGUAGAU